UAGAGAGAGUCUACCGAUUUGUCUUCUCGUCCUUGCCGCCGCGGAUAAAAAUAUUACAAAAACUUAAACAUAACCUACAAAUAAUGUCAAUAUUUUUUUGGUUCGCGGACGAAAUUACGUCGCGGGCGCGCGACGAGCGUUAAACAGCCGACCGCUCGGACCGAUGCGAAAAUUCACGUUCGCCGUGCGGUUGGUUACACCGAUCGCCAGCCGUCGUCGCGUGCCCGCCAAAUCGGGAAAAUCAGCAAAUUGCGUUUCGAGCGCGGCGGGUAACUCAAACGUCGUAUACGAUAUCACAUAUUUGUAUAGAAUAUGAUUAUACCUAAACUCUACAGGUUGCUCACCGAUACGCAUUGCUCACGCUGUGCAUACUCCAACUCGCCGGACGUCCCGGUGGUUUGGCAUUUGCCAAUAUUUAUGUCAGUCGCUGCCAUUGAAUAAACUGCCAAUACGCGGACAUUGCACCGUGGAUUCGGUUUUCGCAGUACCCCUCACGAAAAGGACAGCGAUGGACCAAGUUCAAAUAAACGCAUAUAAGCUUUUGUUGAAAAACGCCCGAUGUACUUCAUUUAGUACCAAUUUAAAAAUGAUGUUUGAAGACGCCAUUGAAAUCCUUGUUAGUACAAAAAUUUGUUUACCGGUUUCUCGAGAGGUACUUAAUAGUUUUGUCACAGAAAUCGUGCCCGCUUUAAAAGAUAAACUGGCACUCCAUUUGGCUAAUUUCAUACUGGAUAAAGUAAGACUUUUUUUUCCACGUACCUACUUAAUUUGUUUAAAUUACCAUUUCAUUCAAUUAUUAGAUAAGUCAUAGGAAAACAUAUUUUGAUCAAGUAGUAGCCAGCACAUAUCUAUAUUUAUAUAGGUUAUUAAAUAUAAAGGAAAAAAUUGGAAAGAAGGACUCCAGAAGCUGAUCUGUAUUCCACUUGAAUCGGAACAAAUACAAUUUUCAAUGGAAUUAAAAAUGGAAAUAUUUAUUAGAAUUGUACAUUUUUAUUUGGAAGAAAAUAAUCCAAAUCUAGCAGAAUUUUAUAUUGUUAAAGCUGCAAAAAUACAGGGUGACUUAAUGUUUGAUUCUAGUGGCUAAAGGUGACAUGAAUAAAAAAGGUUGAAAAUCACUGCCCUAAUUUUACCAAUAAAUUUAUAGUAAAAUAUGUUACAUUAGUAGACCAUAUACACAAUAAUCAUAUUUAAAAUUAUCUAAUUAAAUAAUAUUUCCAAAAUUGUAUUUAUUUUUAUUCUUCUAGUUUCUAUUAGACAGUGCAAAUCUUAGGAUUUGGUAUAAAGUGUAUCAUGCACGCGUAUUAGAUCAUCGUCACAUGUUUAUUGAGGCUGCACGUGAAUAUUAUGAAGCGUCUCAUAUAAAUAAUCUAAAUCAGUGUUUCCCAACUUCUUUUACUCACGGAACCUUUACAGGAGCUUGAACAUUUUGUGGAACCCCCCAUAUCAUUUUUGGAGUUAUUCUAUGUUAGAAUCAUAAUUCAAAUCAAAAAUAUUAUUAAUUCAUUUAUAUUUUCCCAAAUUUCUCACGGAACCCUUGGCACCGGCUGACGGAACCCUUAGGUUCUGCGGAACACCAGUUGGGAAACACUGAUCUAGAUGCAAUGGUACACUUAACAUUAUUGAAAGCUGCUUUUGCAUGUACAGUACUAUCUCCAUCUAAUUAUGCACGAUCCAAAAUGUUAAAAACAUUUUAUGAUGAAGACAUGCAAUGCUGAACAUGUUACCUGUUCCAAUUUUAAAAAACUUUGCCUGGGUCAUCUAAUUCAACCAGACGAUAUUGAACUUAUACGAGAACUCCUUUUGCCAUAUCAUAAGGAAAUAAUAACAGACAAUUCAUUAUCUUUAUUGGCUGAAACUUUAAUUGAACAUAACAUUUUUGCGGUCAGUAAACUGUAUAAAUAUAUUAAAAUGAAGUAUUUAAUAUAUUUAUGGAAAAUUGAAAAAAUAGCAAGAAGAAUGGUUUCUGAAGAACGUAUCAAAGGUUGUUUAAUUGAUAACAUUGGCGGUUUUAUUUACUUUAGAUGCUCCCAAAAUGUGGACAAUUCAAUAUCAACUUUUAAUAUCAAAUUUGACUCUGUGCGCUGUCAUGAAAAUGCUAUUAUUCAAAUCAUGUUUACUAACUCGCGAAUGUAAUAAGUAUUCUGAUAAUCAAACGUCAUAAUAAAUUAAUAAAGUAAUACGAUAAUACUUUUCUAAA